rnacentral:rRNA from 1 species
UACGUAGGGUGCGAGCGUUGUCCGGAAUUAUUGGGCGUAAAGAGCUCGUAGGCGGUUUGUUGCGUCGGCCGUGAAAACCUGCAGCUUAACUGUGGGCCUGCGGCCGAUACGGGCAGACUUGAGUUCGGUAGGGGAGACUGGAAUUCCUGGUGUAGCGGUGAAAUGCGCAGAUAUCAGGAGGAACACCGGUGGCGAAGGCGGGUCUCUGGGCCGAUACUGACGCUGAGGUGCGAAAGCGUGGGGAGCAAACAGG